AAUGGAGGGGAGUGUAUCAGACGAAAUAUCAGGACAAUUUUCAUUCAAGACGGCCCAAUAAAAAAUAUUUAUUAGGAAGAAAGAAUCUUCAGCUCCUCAAGCACUGUCAUUAAAGCCUUUCAACUGUGUAGAGUUAAGAUGUGGGGGAGUAUGAUGAGCUGAUUGAUGAGCGUUGAUCAUGAAGCCCAGAGUAAGUGCAGCCUGGUCCAUCACAGAGUCUAUGACCCUACCUGUAAGUAUAUACUUGUGUGAAUAAUAAUAUCAUGUUUUUUAUUGAUCUUGUCAAUAAUAUUAGUAGUGAUUGUAUUAUUAGUAACAUCCAGCCUGCAUGAUGCCUGUUUUUUUGUGAA
ensembl:lncRNA